UGGUGCAAUCAUUGUUUUGUU
rnacentral:piRNA from 1 species